ensembl:lncRNA
GAGCAGUGGGCGAAGAGCAGGUGGCGGCAUUAGCCUCCCUCGCGGCUUUCACAGCAGUGCGUUCGGGGGACCCUGAGAUGAAAAAUUCUGACACAGUCAAGUUGGGACUAGAAAACCACCUCACACAUGUCAGGUACUGAAUGGCGCCUGCUGUCCCUGCUUUGUUCUUCCUUAAGAUGUGUCAGAUGAGGGGCGUGGGGGCACCACUCCUCUCUCUAGCCGCUUAUAAAUAAUGUAAGCCGACACCAGACAAAGCCCAGUUGUGUUUCGCAGCCUUGCCGCCCCGCCGCUCUAGCAGGAGCUUCUGGCUGCGCUGAUGGAUAACACAAUCACUUAAUUAUUGAACUUGAGGUUUCAUCAGAACUGUGUGCUUUGUAACUCGCACAUGGGAAUGAAUAAAGGAAUACAAGUGGGAAUGCUGGCCAUGAAUAAAGCUGCCUGAAGCCAUUCAGAUAGUCAGGGGGAUUCAAAAUCAGACAGGAGGCAGCAGCCUCUCUAAGAUCAUUCUGCUCCCCUGCCCUGGACUCCAACCUUCCUUUCUUCCUACGACAGGUCCUGUGUGAGGGGCAGGGACAGAGCUGACCCCCACUGUCUCUGUCCCUCCAGGGGCUCAGCUUGAUGCGGUGAGCACGUGUGUCAAUAGAUUGCUUAAAUAACAGAAAAGAGGAAAAUUGAAACUAAAUACUGUGAUUAAGUAAAACAAAAACAAAAACAAAAAAACCACACACAUGAAGUUCAUCAGAAAUGAAACAGAGAUAUGUGAGUGUUGCUGCAGCACAGAGAAGCUGGCGAUUAACUGGAAGAGUCAGUGUGCCCCAGAGAAACAGAACCAAUAGGGUGUGUGUAGGAGUUCCUGUUGUGGCCCAGUCCGUGAAGAUGUGGUUUGAUCCCUGGCCUUGCUCAGUGGGUUAAGGAUCCAGAGUUGCCAUGAGCUAUGGUGUAGAUCAAAGGCGUGGCUCAGAUCUGGCCUUGCUGUGGCUGGGGUGUAGGCCGGAGGCUAUGACACCAAUUCAACCCCUAGUCUAGGAACCCUCACUUAAAGGAACUGGCUCUCAAGCUUGUGGGGUCACCAGCCCUGAGGUGGGCAGGACAGUCCAGCAGGCAGGAAGCCCAGGUGAGUCCUGAGGCUGCUGUCCGGGUCCUGAAUCCAAGUCCCAUGGGCAGCAGGCUGAAGCCUCAGGAUUUCUAUGAUUCAGUCUUGAAGCAGAAUGGCCUCUUCUUCUGGGACCUCAAUCUUUGCUCUCAAGGCCUUCAACUUGUUAGAUGAGGCCCACCCACAUUCUGGAGGGUCAGCCGCUUUACGCAAAACCUACUGACGGCAAAAACUAAUCACAUCUAAGAGAGACCUUCAUGGCAGCACCCAGGCUGGUGUGUGAGGCACACCUGGGCCCCGCAGCCCUGCAAUCUGACGCUACCAUGAGCCUCUGCCAGCCAGGAAGCUGUUACAGGGGUGGGGGUGGGGGGCACCGUUUUUCUGUCUGUGUGCUUGUCUUGAGAGGGGAAACCAGGAAGGAUCCCGAUAAAGGAGGACAAAGGUAAAUCAAGGAACAGAGAAAAGCCAAGAAAGAGUGGGUUCAUGGGCACCUGUCUGUGGCCUCUGGGACAUUCUCCCGCCAGCAUCUGGAGCUUUGAAUUACAGCAAACUGGCAAUAGCGCCUGUGCAGCCAACAGACUGGCCUCACUCUAAGUCUGAGCCCUAGAGUCAGGGCCCCCUGCUAUUCCUGUUAAGGAACCUGUCACCAGACUUCAAAAGUAGAGGCAAUUAACCCCUGCGUUCUUGCCCUAACAUGGCACUUCAGCCUGGGCACAUCUCCAGACCGUGGCUCCUCGGCCGUCCCCAUCUGGCUGAACUGCCCCAUGUGUGGGCUGAGCAAGUUCUUGGUGGGGCUGGCAGAAGCUUCCAGAACCCACCCAAACAUGCCAAGGAGUCAGGGACAAGACAUUAGCCUCAUCCAGGCACAUCCAGCUUGCCUUUUACUGUGUGAUCUUGGCAAAUUAAUUAGCCGUUCAAGGAGCCUCAUCUUCCUUAUCUAUGGAUGGAUGGGUCUGAAAAUUAACAAGAAAAUGCACAUAAAGAGCAGAGAACAAGGCUGACCUUCCAUCGACCAACUUCAGCAGUCCGGAUCUACUCUGUUUCCAAGACAGGGAGGCUCUGCUUUCUUUUAGUGUCUGCGAGCUUUGAAGCAUUCUGGCAAAGGACGUAUGCGCCAGGGGUGAAGGUCACCAGAGCUGCCUCUGGCUCAUGACUCACUUUCUCAAACAAGACCAGCAGAAGAUGCCAACGUGAGGGGGAGGACUGCUUCAGUUCCCGAGAGUCAAGUCCAUUUUUGAUGUCACUGUUUCCUAACUCACUCUGUUCCCACGCGAUCGACCCCUGCACAGCCUCAUCCUGGAAUGACUCAGGCCGUUUUUUCGCCACGCGCUUUCUACAGUGACCCUCUUGUAACCUCCAGGUCAGUCCGCUGCCCAGGGACCAGGCGGCAGCGCUGGGCACAAGGCACCUCCUCCAUCGCGCUGACCGUCGAGUCCUCGGCGGCGCCGUCCUGCAGCCACUCCCUCCCGUGGUCCAGUCCUCACCCGUCCGUCCGUAGGGGAUGCGCUUGGCCAGCCGCCGGCCGUCCAGACCCUACCUGACACGCUUUUGUAGGACCUGCCAUCCUUCCCGGGUGAUGACAGGUUCUCCUAAGAGCUUUAAUACUUUUAUCUGAUACUUAUUGAUCCCUUACUAUGCCAGGCACAGUAUCGAGCGGUUCCCUAACCCCACGAGGUAGGCGCAGGUCUCUGCCCCUCUGACAGUGGAGGAAAGCGAGGCGGGAGGGGUUAACAGCGAAGCUAAUGGACAACCAGGCCGCAAAGGAGUCGGGAUGGGGAGCAGUGAAGUCCCCUCCAAGUCUUACCUGGCACUUUGCCUUUCCUCCUCCCUAUGGGAACACCCCCACCUGCCUCCGGCUGAGGUUUAUUGAGCUGGGGGUGGGCAUGACCCCGCAGGAAGAGUCCUUCCUCUGCAUCUGCAGAAUUAAGACUGAAAGCGUGUGUCUGAGAGGGAGAAGGGCACCCCGAGGAAGAACCAUGCUGUGUGAAACGGCACAGCAUCUUCUCACUCCCCCCAAGAGCCACUGAGGGAGCCUGCCCCCCUGGGACGGUGGGUGGUACAGAAAGGAGGGGGGGGAGAGGGAGGAGGGGAGGGAGGAGGGGAGGGUGUAUGGCCAGCCUCCAAUCCAUGAGCCCUCCUGGAACCUGGGCCACCUUGAGAGACCUCAAACCACAGAACCCUGAGGCUUCUGGACCCCUGCACAAGUCAUUCAAAGGAAAAAUAGUGAUCAACCAAUUAAGCACAAAGAAAUCCUAAAAAAGUGUGAUUUACACCUGCUAACUUCUUCAAUUUUUUUCAAAGUUGCACAGCAGAUUCCUUUUUUAAAAACAUUCUUGAAGUUCCUACUGUGAUGCAGUAUCCAUGAGGAUGCAGAUUCGGGUUCAAUCCCUGGCUUCGCUCAGUAGAUUAAGGAUCCCAAGUUGCCUGAGAGCUGUGGUGUAGGUCUCAGGUAUGGCUGGGAUCCAGUGUGGCCGUGGCUGUGGCAGAGGCUGGCCACUGCAGCUCCAAUUUAACACCUAGCCUGGAAAUUACCAUAUGCCGCAGGUGCAGUCCUAAAAAAAAAAAGAAAAAAAUUUUGUUUUACUUUGCUGGUGCCCUGAGCACCUUCUUGGCCUGCCCUUUGGGCGAGUCCAGCACUGCUCGUGUGUUGAUAAUAUGGUCCCUUUUCUCCCUUGAGAUUGUCCGUCCUGAUUUCGGCUCCCUGGUCUGACUUGGGGCCAGUUGCUCAGCCACAUCUGACUUUGCAGGAUGCUGCCUAUGCCCAGCUCCUAACAAACACCACGGCCACCCGCGAUGGGGUGUCAGUGGGUAUGGCUGUAUAUGAACACACACUUGCUGCCUUUCAGCUGGUCGGCGGAAAGGGCCGUCAGCGUCAUGACCAGGUUUGCCUCACGAGCAAGUUCGCUGAUGCUGUGAAAGGUCCCCGAGGCUGUGACACAGCUGCUUCUGCGGCUGCAGGGCCUGCUACCCCUAGGCCCUUGAGAAGCUCAUAGCAUCAAAGUCAUCCCACCUCAAGGAGAGGAACCCAACCGCCCCUUCUGUGUCAUCACCACGGCCGCCUGUACGCAGCCUGAGUAGCUGAAACAACUGACAUUUAUUUUCCUGCAGUUUUGGAAGCUAGAAGUCCGCAGUCGAGACGUGGGCAGGGCCACACUCUCCGGAUGCUCUGGAGGAGGUUCUGCUCCCACCUGCGCCGCCCCCCACCCCGGCUGGGGGUCCCUGGCUUGCAAUGCGUGGCUCGGACCUGCAGGGUCCCAGGUGUUCACGCUGUGUCUUCACAGGAUGCUGUUCCGUCUGUGCACGUCUGUCUGUGUCUCUUCUCUUCUGCAAAGGAUGGCAGCCCCAUUGGACCAAUGACCACAUCUUAACUCGACUUCACGAGCAAAGACACUAUUUUCAACUCAUAGCAAGGCCCUAACAGCCCCCAUCUUCUCCAAGACCCUCUCUGUUCUGUUCCCUCUCACCUCCCAGCGUGGCCGCCACAGCUCCCUAAAAAAGAGGGGUUCUGCCAGGAGGGAUUCUGGAAAUCUCUUAGGGCUCCCUCCUAGACUUAUGGCUACCAAAGGAGAAACACGGGGGGGAGGGAUACCGUGGGAGGUGGAGACUGUGGUGUACACACCACUGUAUACGGACUGGAUGAGUGACGAGGACCCACCGUCCAGCCCAGGGCAGUCUGUGCCAUCCUUGGCAGUGCCCUAUAUGGGACAGGAAUCUGAAAAGAAAUGGAUGUGUGCAUGUGUGUGGCGGAUCCACUCUGCUGUACACCUGACACUAACCCAAAGUUGUGAGUCAGCUACACUCCAAGAAAAACGUUUCUUAAAAAUGUUUCAGCCUGUGUUAUGAUACUUGGCUCUUUUGGUCUCUGUAUUUAAACAAACGCAUUGGGAGCUUGGUUUUCAGCACCAAGUUGUGACAGGCACUUCAUCACCCGGUUCUAAUUCUGGCCGGUUGGUCUCAAGGCCACGGGGCACUCAGCUGCUUGGAUUAGCAGCAAGGAGAGGAAACCGGGCCUGAGAGAACAUGCGGCUCCUGCAGGUCCGGCCGGGAGGGGAGCCCAGCCGCCCACAGCCGGGUCCAGAGGGGCUGAGGAUGCCUGGCUGGCGCAUGCCCGACACCCAAGGUGGGUCAAGACCCAAGGAAGACCCAGUGGCCGCAGCAGCGGGUCGUGUCAUGGGCUCACAACUACGGAAGCACAUCUCCCUCUGCAGGUGGUUUGCGUAGCACCUGCAGACAUUGUCCUCUGAAGAC